rnacentral:rRNA from 1 species
AUUGAACGCUGGCGGCAGGCUUAACACAUGCAAGUCGAGCGGGGGAAGGUAGCUUGCUACCGGACCUAGCGGCGGACGGGUGAGUAAUGUUCAGGAAUCUGCCUAUUAGUGGGGGACAACAUCUCGAAAGGGAUGCUAAUACCGCAUACGUCCUACGGGAGAAAGCAGGGGAUCUUCGGACCUUGCGCUAAUAGAUGAGCCUAAGUCGGAUUAGCUAGUUGGUGGGGUAAAGGCCUACCAAGGCGACGAUCUGUAGCGGGUCUGAGAGGAUGAUCCGCCACACUGGGACUGAGACACGGCCCAGACUCCUACGGGAGGCAGCAGUGGGGAAUAUUGGACAAUGGGGGGAACCCUGAUCCAGCCAUGCCGCGUGUGUGAAGAAGGCCUUAUGGUUGUAAAGCACUUUAAGCGAGGAGGAGGCUACUUUAGUUAAUACCUAGAGAUAGUGGACGUUACUCGCAGAAUAAGCACCGGCUAACUCUGUGCCAGCAGCCGCGGUAA